rnacentral:rRNA from 1 species
AACCUGUUAAAUAAUCGAUAAUCCACGUUAAUUUUCACUUUUAUUUAAAUUUUAUAUACCUCCAUCUUAAGAAUUUAUUUUAUUAUUUUAUUCUAAAUAAAUACUAGAAAGUUAGGUAAAGGUGUAGACCACAUUUGAGUUAUAAUGGGUUACUUUAAAUAAAAUUUAAGGAAAAAAAAAUAAAUUUUUUUUGUAAAAAGGAUUUAUAAGUAUUGUUUAUAUAAUAAUUAAACUUGAAUUUGAUAAUAAAUGUGC